GGUCAAGCGAAUAAGCGCACACGGUGGAUGCCUAGGCGGUCAGAGGCGAUGAAGGACGUGGUAGCCUGCGAAAAGUGUCGGGGAGCUGGCAACAAGCUUUGAUCCGGCAAUAUCCGAAUGGGGAAACCCACUGCUUCGGCAGUAUCCUGCAGUGAAUUCAUAGCUGCUGGAAGCGAACCCGGUGAACUGAAAUAUCUAAGUAACCGGAGGAAAAGAAAUCAACCGAGAUUCCCUAAGUAGUGACGAGCGAACGGGGAGCAGCCCUUAAGCUGGAAUGGCUUUAGAAAAACAAUCUGGAAAGAUUGGCCAUAGAAGGUGAUAGCCCUGUAUUUAAAAGGGCCACUCCAGUGAAGACGAGUAGGGCGGGGCACGUGAAACCCUGUCUGAAUAUGGGGGGACCAUCCUCCAAGGCUAAAUACUCCUGACCGACCGAUAGUGAACCAGUACCGUGAGGGAAAGGCGAAAAGAACCCCGGAGAGGGGAGUGAAAUAGAUCCUGAAACCGUGUGCGUACAAGCAGUAGGAGCUCGCAAGAGUGACUGCGUACCUUUUGUAUAAUGGGUCAGCGACUUACUGUUCGUGGCAAGCUUAACCGUAUAGGGGAGGCGAAGGGAAACCGAGUCUGAUAAGGGCGCAUAGUCGCGGGCAGUAGACCCGAAACCGGGUGAUCUAGUCAUGGCCAGGGUGAAGGUGCCGUAACAGGUACUGGAGGCCCGAACCCACGUCUGUUGCAAAAGACGGGGAUGAGCUGUGAUUAGGAGUGAAAAGCUAAUCGAACCCGGAGAUAGCUGGUUCUCCUCGAAAGCUAUUUAGGUAGCGCCUCGGACGAAUACUACUGGGGGUAGAGCACUGUUAUGGCUAGGGGGUCAUCGCGACUUACCAAACCAUUGCAAACUCCGAAUACCAGUACGUACUAUCCGGGAGACACACGGCGGGUGCUAACGUCCGUCGUGAAAAGGGAAACAACCCAGACCCACAGCUAAGGUCCCAAAUUCACUGCUAAGUGGAAAACGAUGUGGAAAGGCAUAGACAGCCAGGAGGUUGGCUUAGAAGCAGCCACCCUUUAAAGAAAGCGUAAUAGCUCACUGGUCGAGUCGGUCUGCGCGGAAGAUUUAACGGGGCUAAGCAGUGAACCGAAGCUUGGGGUGCAUAAAACUUGUUUUAUGCGCGGUAGAGGAGCGUUCCGUAAGCCUGCGAAGGUGGAUUGAGAAGUCUGCUGGAGGUAUCGGAAGUGCGAAUGCUGACAUGAGUAACGAUAAUGCGGGUGAAAAGCCCGCACGCCGAAAGCCCAAGGUUUCCUUGCGCAACGUUAAUCGACGCAGGGUUAGUCGGUCCCUAAGGCGAGGGCGAAAGCCGUAGUCGAUGGGAAGCAGGUUAAUAUUCCUGCACCUCGCGUGAGUGCGAUGGAGGGACGGAGAAGGUUAGGUGUACCGGGCGUUGGUUGUCCCGGGGAAAGGCGGUAGGUUUGGAUCUUUGGCAAAUCCGGG
rnacentral:rRNA from 1 species